UCAGACCUGAUCCAAGGGUCGUAAUUAUUAGUAUUAAACCAUUUCCGAAAGGAGUGUGAUGAAUCAUAAUAAUCGAACGAAUCGCCUGUUGUGCGAUAAAUCAUUCAGGUUUCUGCCCUAUCAGCUUUGGAUGGUAGUGUAUUGGACUACCAUGGCAGUCACGGGUAACGGAGAAUUAGGGUUCGAUUCCGGAGAGGGAGCCUGAGAAACGGCUACCACAUCUACGGAAGGCAGCAGGAGCGAAAAUUGCCCAAUCCCGACACGGGGAGGCAGUGACGAGAAAUAACAACUCUUGGUUAUUCUAAGAAGUGUAAUGAGGAUAAUUUAAAACCCUUACCGAAAGCAAUUGGAGGGCAAGUCUGGUGCCAGCAGCCGCGGUAAUUCCAGCUCCAAUAGCGUAUAUUAAAGUUGUUGCAGUUAAAAAGCUCGUAGUUGAAGUUCUGGCUGCUUGACCCUCGAGCUCUGUAGCCGAGGGCUCAGCAGUCAUCCGCUUGCAAAUAUAUGUUCGCCUUUAACCGGGCGGCUAUAUGAGUAAGCAUUUUACCUUGAGAAAAACAGAGUGUUCCAGGCAGGUUUGUCCGGUAUGCAUUAGCAUGGAAUAAUAGAAUAUGACUGAAGUCGAUUUAUUGGUUUGAGGCUUUAGUAAUGAUUAAUAGGAACAGUCGGGGGCAUUGGUACUUGUCAGUCAGAGGUGAAAUUCUAGGAUUUGACAAAGACUAACAAAUGCGAAAGCAUUUGCCAAGGAUGUUUUCAUUAAUCAAGAACGAAAGUUAGGGGAUCAAAGACGAUCAGAUACCGUCCUAGUCUUAACUAUAAACUAUACCGACUCGGAUUCAGAUGAAUCAUAAAGUUCAUUUGGGACCGUAGGAGAAAUCAAAGUUUUUGGGUUCUGGGGGAAGUAUGGUCGCAAGGCUGAAACUUAAAGGAAUUGACGGUUUUGCACCACCAUGGAGUGGAGUCUGCGGCUUAAUUUGACCCAACACUGGGAAACUCAUCAGGGCAAGAAGAUUGUAGGAUUGACAGAUUGAGAGUUCUUUCUUGAUUGGUCUAGUGGUGGUGCAUGGCCGUUCUUAGUUGGUGGAGUGAUUUGUCUGGUUAAUUCCGUUAACGAACGAGACCUUAACCUGCUAACUAGUACACCGAUGACAAAUCGGUGAUACUUCUUAGAGGGACUAUGUGAUGUAAUCACAUGGAAGUUUGAGGCAAUAACAGGUCUGUGAUGCCCUUAGAUGUCCUGAGCUGCACGCGUACUACAAUGGUGCUUUCAUCGAGCUUUUCCUGAUCCGAAAGGAUUUGGGUAAUCUUUUUAGUGAGCACCG
rnacentral:rRNA from 1 species